ACGCUCGACACCUACGAGAGGCAGCAGUUGGGAAUAUUGGACAAUGGAGGAAACUCUGAUCCAGUGACGCCGCGUGAAGGAAGAAGGUCUUCGGAUUGUAAACUUAUUUUGUCAGGGAAGAAAAAUGACUGUACCUGAAGAAAAAGCACCGGCUAACUACGUGCCAGCAGCCGCGGUAAUCUGAGCGGGCUGGCAAGGC
rnacentral:rRNA from 1 species